GGAUAGGUCCAUAGCUCAGUGGUAGAACAUCUGCCUUGCAGGCAGAAGGUCCCAGGUUCAAUCCCUGGUGCCUCCA